rnacentral:rRNA from 1 species
AUGAACGCUGGCGGCGUGCUUAACACAUGCAAGUCGAACGAAGCACUUAAGUUUGAUUCUUCGGAUGAAGACUUUUGUGACUGAGUGGCGGACGGGUGAGUAACGCGUGGGUAACCUACCUCAUACAGGGGGAUAACAGUUAGAAAUGACUGCUAAUACCGCAUAAGACCACAGCACCGCAUGGUGCAGGGGUAAAAACUCCGGUGGUAUGAGAUGGACCCGCGUCUGAUUAGCUGGUUGGUGGGGUAACGGCCUACCAAGGCGACGAUCAGUAGCCGACCUGAGAGGGUGACCGGCCACAUUGGGACUGAGACACGGCCCAAACUCCUACGGGAGGCAGCAGUGGGGAAUAUUGCACAAUGGGGGAAACCCUGAUGCAGCGACGCCGCGUGAAGGAUGAAGUAUUUCGGUAUGUAAACUUCUAUCAGCAGGGAAGAAAAUGACGGUACCUGACUAAGAAGCCCCGGCUAACUACGUGCCAGCAGCCGCGGUAAUACGUAGGGGGCAAGCGUUAUCCGGAUUUACUGGGUGUAAAGGGAGCGUAGACGGUAUGGCAAGUCUGAUGUGAAAGGCCAGGGCUCAACCCUGGGACUGCAUUGGAAACUGUCGAACUAGAGUGUCGGAGAGGCAAGUGGAAUUCCUAGUGUAGCGGUGAAAUGCGUAGAUAUUAGGAGGAACACCAGUGGCGAAGGCGGCUUGCUGGACGAUGACUGACGUUGAGGCUCGAAAGCGUGGGGAGCAAACAGGAUUAGAUACCCUGGUAGUCCACGCCGUAAACGAUGACUACUAGGUGUCGGGUAGCAGAGCUAUUCGGUGCCGCAGCCAACGCAAUAAGUAGUCCACCUGGGGAGUACGUUCGCAAGAAUGAAACUCAAAGGAAUUGACGGGGGCCCGCACAAGCAGUGGAGUAUGUGGUUUAAUUCGAAGCAACGCGAAGAACCUUACCAGGGCUUGACAUAUAAGUGAAUAAUUAAGAGAUUAGUUAGCUCUUCGGAGCACUUAUACAGGUGGUGCAUGGUUGUCGUCAGCUCGUGUCGUGAGAUGUUGGGUUAAGUCCCGCAACGAGCGCAACCCUUACUGUCAGUUACUACGCAAGAGGACUCUGGCAGGACUGCCGUUGACAAAACGGAGGAAGGUGGGGAUGACGUCAAAUCAUCAUGCCCCUUAUGAGCAGGGCUACACACGUGCUACAAUGGCGUAAACAAAGGGAAGCAAGCCUGCGAGGGUAAGCAAAUCUCAAAAAUAACGUCUCAGUUCGGAUUGUAGUCUGCAACUCGACUACAUGAAGCUGGAAUCGCUAGUAAUCGCGAAUCAGAAUGUCGCGGUGAAUACGUUCCCGGGUCUUGUACACACCGCCCGUCACACCAUGGGAGUUGGUAACGCCCGAAGUCAGUGACCCAACCGUAAGGAGGGAGCUGCCGAAGGUGGGACCGAUAACUGGGGUG